UAUAACAUUGUUUACAGACUCUGAAAUUAUAAAUAUCAAGGUAAUGGGUUAUUGUGUUUGAUUAACGAUAUUUUUGUUUACUUUUAAGGUGUAUUUAUUUCUAUAAAUAUUAUAAAAAAUCAAAUAAAUCUUUUAAGAUAGAAGAAAACACAUAUGAAAUUACUUAGUCUCCUCUAGGUAGACAGGGUUAUUGUUUCUUUUUUGUAACUUUCAUUUUAGGUUCAGUGGUACAUGUGAAGGUUUCUUAUAUAGGUAAAUUUGUGUCCUAAAGGUUUGUUGUACAGAUUAUUUCAUCAACCAGGUAUUAACCCUGGUACUCAAUAGUUAUUUUAUUUAUUUAUUUGUUUUUGCUCCUCUCUUUCCUCCCACCCUCCACCUUCAGGAAAAACUGAAAAGAAUUCAACAUGAUAUUUUUAUAUUUGACUAUAUAAAAAUGUAAAAUAUCUGUAUGAUAAAAUCAUUAAACUUUGAGGG
rnacentral:lncRNA from 1 species